CUGCACUCACACUGAAAACUGCAUCAGGAUGAAGUUGCCAAUAACUCUGAUAGUCACUUUGGGCUUCCUGAGUCAGGAGUCUUCUGCCAACAACUUUCUGACUCAGGCUGACAAAUCCAAGUCUGUUAGUCCUGGAGGGACUGUGACAAUCAGCGCCACAGGGAGUUCAAAUAUUGGUGCUGAUCUCAGUUGGUACCUCCAGAAACCUGGACAGGCUCCCAAACUUCUCAUAUAUCGUGCAACAAGUCUAAACUCAGGAAUUCCAUCUCGAUUCAGUGGCAGUAGAUCUGGUUCAAGCUACACUCUGACCAUCAGUGGUGUUCAGGCUGAAGAUAGUGGAGAUUACUACUGUCUGGGCGACCAUGGUGGUGGUGCGUUCACACAGUGAUUUGUAGUUGUACAAAAACCUCCUUCAGUUUGACUGAAGUGAAAACGGCCUGCUGCAGGUGCACAGAGUUGGUGUAACGAGGACAACUGAUCCAGUCAACACAAGUGACAUCAAGCAGAACUGCAAUGAAUCUCAUUAAAACUGACACAAACUCACAGACACUCUUAAUAUAAAAUAAUGUACAAUAAUGUACAAUUUUAAACUUUUAUUCUGCUCAUUUAAUUCAUUCUAUUUGUGAGGUGCAGUAUAAUUUCAGGACUGAGGAAAGAAAUACAAAGACACUGACUCAUUAUGAUCCACAGUUUUAUUUAACAGUAUUUGAACAGUCUUUGAAAUCUGCACUGUAGGUGGUGAAGAGGAAGGGGGAGAGCACAGUUCCCUGGGAGGCCCAAUGUUGCUUGUCAGACAGUCAGACACACAGCUCUGUGACCUCACAAACUGUAGUAUGUCCAUCAGAUAGUCAGUAAUCCAGGCAAUGAGGUGCGUCCACAUCCAGUCUCUCCAGCUUUUCCCUCAGCAGCCGAGGCUGGAUGGUGUUGAAGGGGGAAGAAAAGUCAAAGAAAAUGAUUUGGAUGGUGGCGUUGGGUCUGUCCAGGGAGGAGCAGGCCCUCUGUAUCAAGUAUAUAAUUACAUCGUCCACCCCUGCAUGGGGCUGGUAUGCAGACUGCAGAGGGCCCUGGGCUCCACACACCUGUGUCCUCAAGUGUGCCAGAACCAACCUCUCCAUGACCUUCAUAAAGUGGGAGGUCAGGGCUAUGAGCCUGUAGUCAUUCAGCGCCGUAGGAUGUACUUUCUUUGGCACUGGGACCAGGCAUGAUGUUUUCCAAAGCUCUGGAACUCACUGGUGCUGCAGAACUCCAGCCAGCUCGCACAGGCCUUCAGUACCCUAAUGGGCUAAUGCUGUCUGGACCAGGGGUCUUUCCAGGGUGAAGCCUCUCCAACUCUCUUCUCACCUGGUUGGCAGUGAUAC